UACGUAGGGUGCGAGCGUUGUCCGGAAUUAUUGGGCGUUAAAGGGCUCGUAGGCGGUUUGUCGCGUUCGGGAGUGAAAACCUUGGGCUUAACUCAGGGCUUGCUUUCGAUACGGGCAGACUAGAGGUAUGCAGGGGAGAACGGAAUUCCUGGUGUAGCGGUGAAAUGCGCAGAUAUCAGGAGGAACACCGAUGGCGAAGGCAGGUCUCUGGGCAUUAACUGACGCUGAGGCGCGAAAGCUAGGGGAGCGAACGGG
rnacentral:rRNA from 1 species